rnacentral:rRNA from 1 species
UACGCAGGGGGCAAGCGUUGUCCGGAAUUACUGGGCGUAAAGGGAGCGCAGGCGGUCCUUUAAGUUAGAUGUGAAAUACCCGGGCUUAACUUGGGAGGUGCAUCUAAAACUGGGGGACUUGAGUGCAGGAGAGGAAAGUGGAAUUCCUAGUGUAGCGGUGAAAUGCGUAGAUAUUAGGAGGAACACCAGUGGCGAAGGCGACUUUCUGGACUGUAACUGACGCUGAGGCUCGAAAGCGUGGGGAGCAAACAGG